CACGUAAGGGGCAAGCGUUGUUCGGAAUUAUUGGGCGUAAAGGGUACGUAGGCGGUCCGGUAAGCCCGGCGUGAAAUCCCACAGCUUAACUGUGGGGCUGCGCUGGGAACUGGCGGACUUGAGUCAUGGAAGGGGAGUUGGAAUUCCAGGUGUAGGGGUGAAAUCUGUAGAUAUCUGGAAGAACACCGGUGGCGAAGGCGAACUCCUGGCCGAUGACUGACGCUGAGGUACGAAAGCGUGGGGAGCAAACAGGAUUAGAUACCCUGGUAGUCCACGCCAUAAACGAUGUGCACUAGGUGUUGGGCCGAGCGGUUCAGUGCCGAAGCUAACGUGAUAAGUGCACCGCCUGGGGAGUAUGCCCGCAAGGGUG
rnacentral:rRNA from 1 species